CCUAGGGGAGGCUGCAGUGGGGAAUAUUGGACAAUGGGGGCAACCCUGAUCCAGCCAUGCCGCGUGUGUGAAGAAGGCCCUCGGGUUGUAAAGCACUUUCAGUGAGGAAGAACGCCUGGUGGUUAAUACCCAUCAGGAAAGACAUCACUCACAGAAGAAGCACCGGCUAACUCCGUGCCAGCAGCCGCGGUAAUACGGAGGGUGCGAGCGUUAAUCGGAAUUACUGGGCGUAAAGCGCGCGUAGGUGGCUUGAUAAGCCGGUUGUGAAAGCCCCGGGCUCAACCUGGGAACGGCAUCCGGAACUGUCAAGCUAGAGUGCAGGAGAGGAAGGUAGAAUUCCCGGUGUAGCGGUGAAAUGCGUAGAGAUCGGGAGGAAUACCAGUGGCGAAGGCGGCCUUCUGGACUGACACUGACACUGAGGUGCGAAAGCGUGGGUAGCAAACAGGAUUAGAUACCCCUGUAGUC
rnacentral:rRNA from 1 species